GUGAGGCAGGGCCCCUCAGCCCAGCUAUCCCCCUCUUGCGUUGCAGAGCCAAGGAAGCUAGUAUGGGAGAGCCUGGUGAUUAGCAGCUAGAACGAAACCCCCCGCCGCAGUGCCACCUGCCCCAGCUGCCCACAGAAGUGUCCUUGGGAUAAGCCCCACAGCUCUCUGCUAGAGUCUGGGGGAUUUUCCAUGUCUUCCUCAUCAUUUUGACAAGGAACACGUUCUGCCUAGAUAAGUGGCUAUGGGGAAACUCCUGCCUGAUGGGAAACCAGGCUCAAGACCCAAUGGGGACUGGGCACGGGAAGUGCUUGGUGGGCAGACAAGUCAGAUGACAGCAAGUCUGGCAGCAGAUCUGCUGAGGGGGCUGUGCAUGGCAUCCCAGCUCAUGGUCCCUCGCUUCUCUCACCUGGCUUCCCCUCCUAUAGGGGGUGCCUAUCUUUGCCUGCUGGCCCCAGGGAGAAUGCAACUGGCCCAGUUCUGUGGCCUAGCGCAGGCCUGCUGCAGAAACAACCUCAGGACAGACUUGUGUAAGAGGGAAACUGGCUAUAACAUAGUUUGCUCUAGGGUAGGGGAAAUGAGACCCUGAGGGCAAUGUGGGCCUGGUGACAGGGACCCAGCACAGAGCACUCCUGCCCACACUCCAGUGAGGAGGCUGCCUUGUCAGGGCCCCAUCCCACAGAGAGGGAGGUUCACCCUACCGGGCUCCCAGCAGUGGAACCCCUCCCCACCCCAGCCUGUAGGUCCUUGCCACCCUGACGGCUGCUGACUAGGCACUUGGCAGUGCCCCUGCAUGCUGGGCACCCUGCCCGGCAGCCCUCCCCAAGCAACCUCAAUCUGACCCACUGCAGCUUUGCUAACUAAGCCACUGGGGUGGGGGAUCAUGGCCCUGGGGCAGCAGCUGGGGGUAGAGCUGGCCCCAGGAGAGAUCAAUCCCUUUUGUGGGCAGCUCUAUGCGGGUCCCAGAGAGGCUGCCAAGGGACCAACCCUGACAUGGCAGUGUCCACUGAGUCAAUAAGCACCCCCUCCACCCCUACCUCUCCCUCCCUGUCUGGUUUCCCUGUCACAUUCCUGCUAGCUGCUUGCGGGCACCAAUGUGCUGCAUUGGACAAUCAUUAGCAAUAGCAGGAACACUGGAGACCCAGCAGGGAGACUCUGCUGGGCCUUUCCAGUACAGUGCCUGGGACAGGACCAACAAACACCAAGGUGGCAGGAAGACCCUCCAGGAAGACCCGAGAGGAUGGCUUCAGCCAUGGCCACCUGGUUCUAGAUGGUUCAGAGACCCCGUUACUGUCCGGAACACCUGCAAGGCUGCUGCCCCGCAUUGAGACCUCUGAAGCCAGGCCUGUCUGUGGCACCACAGUCUGCAAAUGGCCCCAGUCUCUGGUCCACACCAACGUCUCUCUGUAGCAGGUGAGGGUAGCCGGGCCACAGACCCUGGACACAAGCACCCAGCCAGCACAGAACUGCCUACAGCACACCAGCACCCUAAGGCAAAUCCUACUGCCUUUGAAGGACCCGAGAAGAGUUGCGUUUCACUAAAUUACAUUUAGCAUAUUUAUUAGCACAAGUAUUAGGGAAUAGCUGAUACGUGUCCUCAAAAGGUCAAAGAGAGUGUUGAACUGAUGAAUUGGGAACAUACCAUAAUGAAAAGGAGCAAUCUGAAAUGAUGACCCAAUGGAGAUUUUAAACAAACAACAGCAGACAGGACACGGCAGCAAAUCUGCAGAGUGAGGUAGCAGAAAGCAUACUCGGGGCAGUCCUUCCAAAGCAGCAGAAAAUGACAAAAAGUUGAUGAAAGAGGGAAGACAGGAGAUGUAGAAAAUAGAUCCCAGGGCUAAACUUCCACAGAACAGGAAUUCCCUGAGGCAGGAAGAGUGGAUCGGCACCCCACAACAUUGCCAGAAGCGGGGCUUUCUGUCCAGAAAACAAGCUAAGAAAAGUGUGGAUAUGCCUAUUUCUGGCAUUUUACAAUUCACUCUUGGUAGGCUGAUGUUUCCCCCAGUCUCCUAAAUGUUUGAUAUCGGCUCUGCAGUAUGGGAAGGAGGCCCACCCCGCCUGAUCUGCUGGCUGUGCAAACGUUCCCAGUACCCAGGCGCACUGAACUCUGGGUUCACAUUCUCCACCAGGCUGUCCACAUCCUGGCGGGGCUGGACAUCGUCCAUCCCCAGAUGUCAGCUGCACAUCGUCUUGCCCACUCACCAUCUCUUGUGUUGCAGACACUUUUACAACCAGGAAUAGCUGACAGCUUUGUUAAACAAGAUGCCUGGCCUCCUUAAAUCAAGAUCUUUAAAAAAGUUAACCUAGCUCUGAAAUUCCUUAAGGAAACUUCAUAGUGAAAUUCCAGGAUUUUCAAAGUCAUGAUUUGCCAUUCGCAUGAUCCAUCUUUCCCUGGGAGGGAACAAACAUGGCUCACUGGGAGCUCACCAGAUUGCCCAGAGAAGUCCAGGCUAUUUCAAUUAGGGGGUCACCCUACCAUAGGCAGAAGCUCCAGGCAACAUCCCUUGGGGUACAAGGGCUGCUGAGAGGUUGAACUGUAUUUUCCAGCAAUGCCCUGAUAUGCCAUGUGCCUUAAGAUGACUAGCUGUUCCUAGCAGUCCUUUGUUAGCUGCCUGUGGGGAGUAUUUUUACUGUCUCAGGAUAUCUGUGCAUCUGUGGGCUGAUGAGUAUAAGAGAUUAGGUAUUAAAAAGAGAGAGAGAGAGAGAGAGAGAGACACUAGAUAUGAAUCCAUGAAACACAAAGUUCAGCCAAGCCAAACAACAACAACAACAACAGAAACCCAAACGAUACACACAGAUGCCGGUACACACACAAACAUGAAAGUUAAGUAUACGACGGAUGUGUUCAUUAACUAGAAGGUAGGAACGUUUUCACAAUAUAUUUGUAUAUCCAAUCCUUACAAUGUACAUUUCAAACAGCUUACAAGUUUAUCAAUUACACUCAGUGAAACUGAAAAAAAAAAUGAAGUAAAACAAAGGAACAUUUUAGCUAUUUUAAUUUUACAAAUUCAGUUGCUUAAAAAUAAACUUGAGGGGUGCCUGGGUGGCUCGGCUGGUUAAGCAGCUGACUUCGGCUCAGGUCAUGAUCUCAUGGUUCAUGAGUUCGAGCCCCGCAUCAGGCUCCAUGCUCACAGCUCAGAGCCUGGAGCCUGCUUUGGAUUUUGUGUCUCCCUCUCUCUCUGCCCCUCCCCUGCUUGCUCUCUCUCUCUCAAAAAUAAAUAAACAUUAAAAAUUUUUUUUAAAUAAAAAUUUAAAAAAGUAAACUUGAAAAAUGUAAAAAAAAUUCCCAACAACACCCAUCUCUUGUGUUCCAUAUGCCUUUUCUUUUAUAUUUUAAAAUAAAAAAGAUUAUAACAGAGUACUAUGAACAACUGCACACCAACAAAUUGCAUAACCUAAAUGAACAAAUUCCUACAAACACACAAUCUACCAAAACUGACCCAUGAAGAAACAAAACCUGAGCAGACCUGUAACUAGCAGGGAGACUGAAUCAGUAUUCAAAAUCCUCUCAAAAAAGAAAGGCCCAGGACCAGGUGGCUUCACUGGUGAAUUCUACCAAAUAUUCAAAGAGGAGUUAACAUUAAUCUUCAAACUGUCCCCCAAAAUUGACAAGAAAGGAGCAGUUACUAACCCAUUCUACAAGGCUGGAAUUAUUACCCUGAUACCAAGCCAUAAAAGAAAAUUAUAGACCGGGGCACCUGGGUCGCUUAGUCGGUUGAGCAUCCAACUUUGGCUCAGGUCAUGAUCUCACAGUUCAUGAGUUCGAGCCCUGCAUCAGGCUCACUGCUGUCAGCAGAGAGCCUGCUAUGGAUCUUCUGCCCC